rnacentral:rRNA from 1 species
UACGAAGGUGGCAAGCGUUGUUCGGAUUUACUGGGCGUACAGGGAGCGUAGGCGGUUCGGUAAGCCCUCUGUGAAAUCUCCAGGCUUACCUGGAAAGUGCAGAGGGGACUGUUCAGCUAGAGGAUGGGAGAGGAGCGCGGAAUUCCCGGUGUAGCGGUGAAAUGCGUAGAGAUCGGGAGGAAGGCCGGUGGCGAAGGCGGCGCUCUGGAACAUUUCUGACGCUGAGGCUCGAA